GUGGGGAAUUUUGGACAAUGGGGGCAACCCUGAUCCAGCCAUGCCGCGUGCGGGAAGAAGGCCUUCGGGUUGUAAACCGCUUUUGUCAGGGAAGAAAUCCUUUGGGUUAAUACCUCGGAGGGAUGACGGUACCUGAAGAAUAAGCACCGGCUAACUACGUGCCAGCAGCCGCGGUAAUACGUAGGGUGCGAGCGUUAAUCGGAAUUACUGGGCGUAAAGCGUGCGCAGGCGGUUUUGUAAGAUCGAUGUGAAAUCCCCGGGCUCAACCUGGGAACUGCAUUGGUGACUGCAAGGCUGGAGUGCGGCAGAGGGGGAUGGAAUUCCGCGUGUAGCAGUGAAAUGCGUAGAUAUGCGGAGGAACACCGAUGGCGAAGGCAAUCCCCUGGGCCUGCACUGACGCUCAUGCACGAAAGCGUGGGGAGCAAACAGGAUUAGAAACCCGGUAGUCC
rnacentral:rRNA from 1 species